rfam:Candida albicans SC5314 mitochondrion, complete genome.
GGGAAUGUCGUCUAAUGGUUAGGACCUUUGCCUUUUAAGCAAAUUACGCUGGUUCAAAUCCAGCCAUUCCCA